UUCAUUCCAAAAUGAUCUGUUUUCAUGCAUGAACAAAAAAGACAUUAAACCUAGAACUGACCAUCUAUCAUUUUAAUUUUUAAUUGUAUUUUUAAUUAUAACUUGAUUGAGGAAAUGGCACGUUAUAAUCCAUAUACAGCCAAACUGCAGGUCUUUAAUUAUUUUUUGUCUAAUGUCUCUGUUGAUGCAGUUAGGUUAUAAUCUGGGCUCUGACGUACACUCUGCAUCUAUAUGAAUAACAUUGAAAGGGACAGUCUAGUAUAUAAAAGUAAUUUUGAGGGUCAUUGUCUUUAAAAAGUUCUGGAUUCCACAUACAAGGUAAAAGUAUUCCAAAAAAAUGCAUUUUGUCACUUGUAUUACUUUGGAAGAGAUUAAAUUUCUGGCAUAGCUUUUGAUUUUGGAGGUUGAUAAGUGAAACAAUAUAUAAAGAACUCACAGAUAACUUUUUAAAAACCCCAAACAAACCUACAGUCAUGAAAAAGAAAUUUCCAAUGUCUUUCAUUUCUGUUGUUUCAAAUAUCAGGACAUAAUAAAAAAAAAAAAUCACCUGGUCCCAACCAUAUUCUCUCUCAUGAGGUUUAAGCAUAGCCCUCUUAAGGUCCCGCCAGCAUUUCAAAUAGCUUGAGGUCUGGACUUUGGCAGGGCUAUUCCAGCACCUUGAUUCUUUUCUUAUUCAGCCAGUCUGUUGUAGAUGAUCAGUUAGCCAAGCUUUAGCUAUCAGAUAGAUGGCGUCACAUCUGACUCCAGUAUACUUUAUUAUACACAGGAAGACUCCAGACCAGCAAACAGCCAAAACUGCUUUAACAGAGAUGGUCACACUUGCAGAUGAUCAAUUAAUCAAGUGCAUUUGAUUAACAGAUGGCUGCUACUUUCCAUCUUAAUUCCCAUGGAAGCAAUUUGGCUGUUUUUAGACAAACUCACAGCCAGACAGUUGUAGGUGAAAAAGUUGGUGACACGUAGGCCUCCUUUAAUGGGGUCUGGCUUGGCCUCGGCUCCUGGAAACAGCGGGUUUAAAUCUCCAGCUUUAGUGUUCGACAACACAGACUCCAACUGAGGACCAAUGUACAGGUUCUGGGUCUGGAAAGCUGAGAGUCGCCGGAGGCUAUAACUGACCUGUCGGGGAAAGAUCAUCAAGUUGAGUCCAUUAUACAGUAACAACCAAGCUGGCACAUCAGUACCUCAGUGUAGAGCAGAAAGCGGACCAGGCUUUCACUCAGCUUUUGCACAACUCUGCGGGACACCCCCUGCCCGACUGCUGCUCCCCCUG